UGCAGUGGGCAGGGGCUGCCCGGGGCAGAGCAGCCAGCGCCAGCCUGGGCUCGGGGUUCUGGGGGUUCCGCCCUGCUCCCCUUCGGUGCUCCUUGCAAGCACUGCGUUGUGAUUUACUGGGAUCACGCUAAGCCUCUUGCCUUUGGAGAGGAAUUAAAGUCACUGCGGAACAUAAUAGAGGAAAGAUCCAUUAGCGUUUCCUUCUUUAUAAUUCAUAUCUCUACAAUAUACUUUAAUUUCCUCUAAGCUGCUUGGGUGCCUGCAAAGCUGAGGAGUUCCGAGCUUCCCACGCUGUUUAUUGCGGAGGUGGGAAUCCUUCCCAGGAAUGGUCCCUGCGAGCCCUGGGGUCCCUCCUGGAGCAGCCGUGCCCUUGUAGGGCAGGAUUGUCUCUGUGCUGCUGCUGAGCCUGGGAGAACACAGGGUAUUUGUGUUUAUUCAUGCUGCAAAUCAGCGCUAAUUUCCUGAAGAACCAAAUUUAUUGGCUUUAUUCCUUCAUUUGAAUAAUUACUGCCAAUAAAUAUCUCAAUAAGCUGCCACUUACAAAGUCAUUUUCAUAAAAAUUAACGUCCAGCUACUCUGCGGUGAUAAACCUCCACGCACAGUGUGUGAAGGCACUGAAAUGUUUAGUUACUUUUCCUGAUCGAACUGUUUGUUAUUUUUGCUCUUGGCUGUUUUUGCAUUUUACAAGGUUUAGUUAUUUUCCGUUCUUAAAUGUUGGGUUAUUUUUCGGUUGUUUUACUUUUGGAAGUGUUUGUUCUACGGAAAGCAGCACCGGACUCUUCUGUUAGUUUAACAAACGUAUCAGGGGAGGGUUCUAAUCGCCACAGAAUUGCUUUUCAAUUGCCCCGGAGAAAGCCCGUUCCUUUGUUUUGUCUUGGGAAAGAUCCUUAUCUCUCGGUGCUCCCAGGAAGGAAUUUCCAUAUCAAGAGGCUGUUAGAGGCGCUCCUAGACUUAGAGGUCAUCCCAGAAGUCCCAGAUAAAAAAGGGCAUUAGGUGGUGUGGCACCAUCACAACUCAAAUCUAUUCUAUUUUAUCGUGUUGGUUUAUUUUAUUUUUCAGAAAAAGGUGGCUGCGAACUGGAGGAGAGGAGCAUGGGUUUAGUGUAGCUUCUCUCCGGGUUUCUGCUUUCUCCAAGCCCCUCCUGUUUGCACACCCCUCUCCUCUGUCUCUUCCCUCUCUGCUCAGCAGCACUUUCCUGACCGGGAGCUUUGCCUGCUUUCCCUGUCCAUCUGUCUGUCUGUGGUGCAGAUGUGCAUCCCCCUGUCCGAGCCCCCGGCUGGGACAGGGAAACAGCCGUGGGUUUCAAAUGCAAAUACAAAUGUGGUUUCCAAAGGAAAUUGCUAUUUCCAUCAGCUGGCACAAGAGAUGAAUCUGGACAGGACAGCAAGGAACACAUUCCAGUAUUUGCUCUGGGAAGCAGCAGCUUGCCAGGCCCAGCGAUGAGCCAGGGCCGUGGUCACCGUUUGAAUUAAAAUAACUGGUGAGCACAGCCAAACCCAGCACUUGGAGCCUGGAAUAUGCAGGGAAUUCCCAGUAUGAAGCACAGGGAAUUACUGUAACCCAGACUGCAGUAACUGUGUUAAAAGAAGCUGGUGACUGUACACAGAAAUAUCUUAUCUCACAUGCAACUGAGAUUAGAAACUGUAAAUGUGAUGUAAAAUUAAAAUGAAGGAUCUUCCAGUUGUACACAUCAUGAACUGGUCCAGUGUCAGCUCCAUCCUACCACCCUUGGGAAAACGCUGCUUUUCAGCUCUGCAGAAAGCUCCUUUGGACCUAAGGGGUCACCAGCACCCCUGGGAAGCCCCACUGCUGCUGGGAAAUUGCCUCUGGCUGGGGAAAGACCUCAUCUCCCUGUGUGCGGAUUUAGGCCAGGGCUGUAGAACACUCAGCUUUGGCAAACAGUGCAGCAACUCUUGCGCUGCAGCAGCUGAGCUGAGGUUGAGGCUGUGUUAAAUCUUGACAUUUUAGGGGAGUAGAAUAAAUAAAAACUUGCUCACUGUUUCAGCACAGGCUGAGCAGAGCCAGCCAGCUCCCGAAGCCCAGGAAUCUGACUACAGGGGAAGCUGUUACGGGCAAGUCAGCUGGGAAAUAAACCUAAAAGUCAAGCUAAGCAGCAAAAUAUUGGAUCUGUUUGAAAACGAGCCCACUGUGGCAGUCUGUUUCUGCACGAGGAGGUUGAUUAUAACUGACAUCACGGGACCUCACAGCCACAAAAGCUCCAGCUUCAAGGGAGUUUCCAUCCUGGUGGCACUGAACUGUGUCAGCACCGUGUCCCGGUCAGCGAGCACCAGGUUCCUGCAGGAAGGUAAAAUACUGGAAUUAUUCCAACUGCUGAGUCAAGGCAGAACAGCACGAGGAGAAUGUCAUGGAUCAGCACAGCAGUCCCGUGGAAGAACACCUACAUUUGGAGCUAUUUUUCUUGCCUAAUAAAUGUGAAGAUGUAAAAAAGUGCUUUU